UACGAAGGGUGCAAACGUUGCUCGGAAUCAUUGGGCGUAAAGCGCACGUAGGCGGCUUCACAAGUCGGACGUGAAAUCCCUCAGCUCAACUGAGGACGUGCAUCCGAAACUGUGAGGCUUGAGUACUGAAGAGGAUCGCGGAAUUCCCGGUGUAGAGGUGAAAUUCGUAGAUAUCGGGAGGAACACCAGUGGCGAAGGCGGCGAUCUGGGCAGAUACUGACGCUGAGGUGCGAAAGCUAGGGGAGCAAACAGG
rnacentral:rRNA from 1 species